rnacentral:lncRNA from 1 species
CUCUCUCUCUCCUGCUGCAUUGUGAAGAAACUGCUUGCUUCCCUCUCACCCUCUGCAGUUUCCUGAGGCCUCCCCAGCCAUGCGGAACGCUGUAGACCAAGACCUGGAAUUAACACAUCAGAAGAUUCUAUGAGGAAACCCAUUUAAAAAUAGGAUGCAUUUUUUUCUUUUCUGCACAGGGAGAAAGUUUAAGCUCUCCUCACUAUGAGUUUUCAAGUAUAAAAGACUUUUUCUUCCACGAUUUUGAGAACAACUGAGGACUCUUGUGACCAGGACAACAGGGAAGCUUGCAGCAAGAUAGCUCCAGGUUGGAUUCAUGCUUCGCACCCCAAGGGCUGCCAGCCAGAGAGGAGGAGAAGCAAUCACUCCUGCAGUUUCUGAACACUACACAGACGCCAGGUAGCUUCUUCAGGAGAACAGCCCUCUGAGGAGGCAGGAAGAGGAGGCUUAUCUUUCAGCAGCCGGAGCUGCUGAGAUCUCUGGGCAGAUUAAGCUCUCUCUAAUGGAUGGGCUCCAGCCUGGCACAUUCAGUGGAGAGGGAUCCACUCAUCCAUCAUCAACAUAAUAUGGUCCUCCCUGCACUUCACAGUGUCCUCUUGCUAUUGAAAAGGCUUUUUUGCCUUCUCAAGUUUCUUUGUCAACAGUCUACAGGAAGAAGCUCAGGCCGCCACCGGCAGAGAACCUUCCACUGGCCACUCAGCGAAAGGCAGCUGAUUCAGCACCUGGAGAAGACCGGCAACAGGGCUGAGUUUCCUUGCACUGCAGAGGAGGGGAGAGGCAAGGAGUGGACAUGAGCACGGAGGAUCCAGGGCACUCCCUUGAUGGUGAUGCCCUCGAAGGGCUGCCCCGUGCCCAUUGUACAGAAUGUGGAUUCCACCCCACGCCAUGAGAGCUCUCGCGCAGGCCCAGACCACUUUAUAAGCCAUAUUUCCCACCAAUUCCUGUUUCUGGAUCUGUCAGGUUAUUUCAUAUUUCUAGGCCCUUAGCUUUGCUUCCUCUUCCCUGAACGCCCUUUGCCCACAUCAUCCCAGCUCUCCUUCUCCUCCUGCCUUCUGUCUUCUCUUCCUCUCAUUUCUUGUCACCCAGGCUGGAGUCCAGUGGCGUGAUCACGGCUCACUACAGCCUUGAACUCCCGGGCUCAGGUGAUCCUCCCACCUGAGCCUCCCGAGUAGCUGGGACUACAGAUGCACACCACCAUGCCAGCUAAUUUUUAAAACUGUUUUUAGGGAUGGGGUCAUCUUCCUGUGUUGCCCAGGCUUGUCUCAAACUCCUGGGCUCAAGUGAUCCUCUCACCUCAGCCUUCCAAAGUGCUGGGAUUACAGGCAUGAGCCACAACAUCCAGCCCCUUUUCUCUUUUCUUACCCUUCUUUCCUAUUUUCUUUUCCAUUUUCUUUCCCUCCCUUCUUCUUUCUUUCCUAACUAUUAAGGAGUAGAUUGAAUUCAAGGUCUUUAUGUGUGUCAGUUUUUGUUUUCCAACAAAUAUUUCUUAAAAACCAACCAUUGAAACGUAAUGGUAACCACUGGCCCCUGUCUCCACCUCCACACCUAAGAAGCCCCAAAUCCAGAUGUGUCCAUUAAAAUCAGUCCAGAUCUUCUUUACCAAGCCACUAGAUGUCAUAUUAAUUUCACAGCAGAAUAGGGAAGCCCAUGCCGGAGCUGAAAACCUGCAACAACAAAAAAGCAUCUAAAUACUGCAAAAAAAAAAAAAAAAAAGAGGGAGAGAGGCAUCUUAAUAUUUGUCCUUAACACAUCAUACCAGACUUCUGCUUCCAGGAAUGACUGGAUGUGGUUUUUCUAGGUGGACAUAAUACAAAAUGCAGCUACCUGAAAACAAUGGAAAGUGGACAGAGCAGGCAGAUUCUGGUGGGAAGUCCACGCAAUAAAGAAAAGAUGUUACAGGAAGUGAGCGCCCAUUUUUGCUGUUUUUAGCUUGGAGGCAGGUGCAGCCAUUGUGCAAACCAGGUGUGGUGCUGGUGGAAAAACAGCCAUCUUUUUGGACUAUGAAAAUGGAAGGUUGAGUUCAGGGCAACUAUAACUGCCAAAAGAGAGAAGAAAGAGUUCUGGAAGAGAAAGAGCCAAAGAGGGAAUUCCCAAAUUCUUUCUGCUCCUGUCUGUGGCUGAUCCCAAACCACGGACACACACAGCAAAAACAAAAGCAUCUCAGCCAGAGACAAAAGAGUCUAAAAGAGACUGGACCUGCCACCUGAGAAACAGAGUUUGAAGUUAGAGUUCAAUCACAAAAAAAUGCCUGCUAAAACAAAAUAAACAAAACCUAUUAGAGAAAAGGUGUUCUCUUAUCAGAAUGUAGGGCCUCCACAACUUAACGUUUAUAAUGUGUACAAUCCAAACUUAUUCGACAUAUGAAGAACUGGAAAAGUGGGACCCAUUCUCAAGGGAAAAGAUAGCGGAGAUUCACUCCAAGAUGACCCAGAUGUUGGAAUUAUCCACCAAGGAUUUUAAAGCUACUAUUAUAACUGUUCUCAUGCUAUAAAAUCCACUAUUUAGAUCAUACUUAAUUGUGAAGAAAUGAAUUCUUUCCUCCUAAGAUUAGAAACAAGGACGGCAUGAAUACCCACUUUCACUACUAACACUGAAUUUUGUACGAAGGUCCCAGUCAGUUCAAUAUUUUUAAAAAGAUUUUAAAAAAAGCAAUAAAAGGCAUACAUAUUGGAAAGGGAAAAGUAAACUGUCUAAAUUUGCAGAUGACAAGGUCAUAUAAUGGUUUAAAAAAAGCUACUAGAACAAUAUGUGAGUUUACCAAGGUUAAAGGAUACAAGGUCAAUAUGCCAAAGUCAAGUGAAUUUCUAUAUAUUUGCAAUGAACAAUUCAAAAUGGAGUUUUAAAACAUUUUUAUUUAUGAUAGUCUCCAAAAUACUUUUUAAGAAAGAAAAUGACAGAAGCAACCCAAGUGUCUACUGAUGGAUAAUUAAAUUAUAGUAUAUAAAUACAAUGGGGCCGGGUGCAGUGGUUCAUGCCUGUAAACCCAGCACUUUGGGAGGCUGAGGUGGGAGGAUCACUCGAGCCCAGGAGUUCAAGACCAGCCUGGGCAACAUGGUGAAACCCCAUCUCUAGAAAAAGUACAACAAUUAGCUGAGCAUGGUGGUGCACACCUAUGGUCCUAGCUACUAGGAGGCUGAGGUGGGAGAUCACCGGAGCACAGGAGGUUGAGGCUGCAGUGAGCUGUGAUUGUGCCACUGCACUCCAGCCUGGGUGACAGAGCAAGACCCUGUCUCAAACACAUAUAUACAUACAUAUGUGGAAUACAAUGGAAUAUUUACUUAAAAAAGAAAGAAAAUUCCGACAACAUGGAUGGACCUUGAAGAUAUUAUGUUGAGUGAACUAGUCACAAAAGGACAAAUACUGCAUAAUUGUACUUUUAUGAGGCACUUAGAGUAAUCAAACUCAGAGACAGAAAGUAGAAUGCUGGUUGCCAGGGGCUGGUAGAAUGGAAAGUUAUUGUUUAAUGUUUAUAAAGUUUUAGUUUUGCAAGAUAAAAAGAUUUCUGUGGAUGGAUGGUGGUGAUGGUUGCACAAUGUGAAUGUACUUAAUGCCACUUAAAAAUGGUCAAGAUGGUAAAUUUUAUGUUAUGUGUAUUGUACCACAAUUUUCUUUACAAGGUCUCAAGUUGGACAUUAAAAUGCCAGGCAAUUAAAAGUAUUUAUGUUUAAAACUUAAUUUAAAAAAUAAUUGACAAGUAUAUUCUAAAAUUUGUUCGAGAAGGCAAAGGACCUAGAAUAGCAAGAAUACUCUUAAGAAAGGAAAACAAGUUUGGAAGGACUUAAACUACCUGAAUUCAAGACUUAUCAUUAAGAUACAGUAAUCACAACAGUGUGUUACUGGCAUAAAGAUAGACCAUAUGAGAUCAAUGGAACAAAAUAAAAGCUUUAAAAUGCACCAAUACUUAUAUGGUCAAUUGAUUUUCAACAAUGGUGCCAAAGUAAUUUAAUGGGGAAAAGAUAGUCUUUUCAAAAAAUGGUGUUAGAACAACUGGAUAUAUAUAUAUAUCCAUUAUAUAUAUACACUCAUUUAUAUAUACAUCAUAUACAUGUAUGUAUCAUAUAUAUGUAUAUAGCCUCAACUCUUAUUUCAUAUCAUAUACAAAUAUUUGAAUUGAUUGUAGACCUAAAUGAAGGAGCUAAAGCUAUUAAACUUUUAGAAGACAGCAUAAAAGAAUUUCCUUCCUUCUGCCUUGCCUUGCCCUGCCCUGCCCUGCCUUGCCCUGCCUUGCCCUGCCCUGCCCUGCCCUGCCCUGCCCUGCCCUGCCUUGCCUUGUUUUGUAACAGAGUCUCACUCUGUUGCCCAGGCUGGAGUGCAGUGGCGUGAUCUCAGCUCACUGCAGACUCAAUCACCUGGGCUUAAGCCAUCCUCUUGCCUCAGCGUCCUGAGUAGUUUGGACUACAGGCAUGCGCCACCACACUUGGCUAAUUUUAGUUUUGUUUUUUUGUUUUUGUUUUUUUGUAGAGACAAGGUUUCAUUAUGUUACCCAGGCUGGUCUCAAACUUCUGGACUCAAGCAAUCCUCCCUCCUCGGCCUGUAAUUAUUUCUUAAACAGGGCACAAAAAGCACAAAUCACAUAAGAAAAAAAGAUAAAACAGACUUCAUCAAGAUUUAAAGCUUUUCCUCCUCAGAUAACGAGUUGAGAAAACAAAGACAAGCCACAGAUUGGGAGAAAACAUUGGCAAAACAGCUAUUAAAAAAGCCUUCUAUCCAGAUUAUAUAAAGAACCCUUAAAACUCAGUAAUAAAAAGACAUACAUAGUAAGUAAUGGGCAAAUGAUUUGAACAAUCACUUUAUAAAAGAAGAUAAAUGAAUAGCCAACAAACACAUAAAAAGAUGCUGAACAUCACAAGUCAUUCAAGGAAGUGCAAAU